GCGAUCGUAAUGUAGCGGCGAGCAUCUGAGUGCGCCACACUCAGCGCAUGGGUUCGAGUCCCAUCGAUCGCU
rnacentral:tRNA from 1 species